GCUGCCGUAGCUCAGUGGUAGAGCACACCCUUGGUAAGGGUGAGGUCGGUGGUUCAAUCCCACUCGGCAGCA
rfam:Rhizobium etli CNPAF512 RHECNPAF_contig294, whole genome shotgun sequence.